AGACCUACAGAAUCAGGAAUUCAGGAGGUGGGGCCUAGAACUCCGAGUUUUAACAAGUCCUCCAGGUGAUUCUGAUGCAUGCUCAAGUUUGGGAAAAGUAGAGAAGAGUCAUGCCUACAAAGGAAGGGUGGCUUCAGGGGAACACUGCAGCUCCUUCUAAUCCCUAAAAACCUAGGCUGGACUUUGGCUUCUGCUGGAGAUUGAUGUCUGUGCAUGAAGCUCAUGCCCAAAGAGAAAAGGGGCUGCGACAUGUUGGAGAACUGGUCCCAAUUCUUCACCCUUCUAUGUAUCCACACGCUAGCCAUGGCCUCCUUGUGGAUGGUGUAUACUUCUGCCCUGGCCUGGGACUUGUCCAUGUGAUUUGCUUCAGCCAAUGGCAUAUGAGUGGAAGUGGCAAUAUGCCAAUUCUGAGCCUAGAUCUACGAGACUUUGCCUGUUUUGGCUUGCUCUGUUAUGGAACAUUCCCCAGUUAGUCUGCUGGAAGGGAAAGGGCAACAGAAGUGCGAACCCACAGUGUGGACUAGAGCCAUUCUAGCUGCCGCAGCCUGAAUCAACCAGCCCACACACGACCAAGCCCAGCUGAGAUCAGCAGAGCCUGCCCAGGCGUCCUGCAGUUGUAUGAGAUAAAUAAUACGCACUGUUUUAAGCCACUUUGAUUCUCUGGUUCUUUGUUAUGCAGCAAUAGCUAAUCAAGACAAGCAGUUUCUAUCUCCCAGCUCUAGUUUGAAAAGUUCCAGGGAAGAGUGAUCUGACCUCACUUGUUUCAAAGGCCCAAAUCUGUCACCAGCCACUCAGAUAUCUUAAGAACAGGGUAACGGUGCUGGUUGUCACACAAAAGUGAGAACUUUCUACUCAGUAAUACACCUGUAUUUUUGUGUGUGUCGAAUUUAAAAUAUUCCAGUCAUCAAUCAUUUAAAACUAACAUAAAAAUUGAGAUUAGUUAAUACAGUAAAUAAUAAAACUAUGUGUAAUUAAAACUUCAUUAUGGCCAGAGAGCAUAGAAAAAGAAGAAGGAAAAGAAGAAGAUGCAAAACACAAUAUUUGCCCAAAAUCCAAGAAGGAGCAAUAUUUCCUUAGAUAAAAACAAUUAAAAAGUAUAUUUGAUAAUAAACAUAUUUUAAAAUCUAAGUAAGAAAGAAAUAAAAUUUUUGAAAAUAUCAUUUUACCCCAACU
rnacentral:lncRNA from 1 species